ACCCGUUGAUCCUGCGGGAGAUUGCUGCUAUUAGGGUUCGACUAAGCCAUGCAAGUUUUCUCGCAAGAGAAGCAAACUGCUCAGUAACACGUCGAUAAUCUGGCCUUAGGUCUGGGAUAACCUCGGGAAACUGAGGGUAACACCAGAUAGAGUAAAGAUACUGGAAUGUGCUUUCCUUUAAAGGCAACGCCUAAGGAUGAGUCGGCGGCCGAUUAGGUUGUUGGCGAGGUAAAUGCUCACCAAGCCUGAGAUCGGUACGGGCCUUGAAAGAGGUAACCCGGAGAAGGGCACUGAGAUACUGGCCCUAGCCCUACGGGGUGCAGCAGGCGCGAAACCUUUACAAUGCACGCAAGUGUGAUAAGGGGACCCUAAGUGCUAAUGUUUUAACAUUGGCUUUUGCCAAGAGUAAAUAUCUUGGAGAAUAAGCAGUGGGCAAGACUGGUGCCAGCCGCCGCGGUAACACCAGCGCUGCAAGUGGGGAUCGUAUAUUUGGUCUAAAGCGUCCGUAGCUGGUUGUGUAAAUCUUUUGUGAAAUCGUUAGGCUAAACUUAACGAAUUGCAGAAGACACUGCAUGACUAGGGACCAGGAGGGGUUGGAAGAAUUCUUAGGGGAGCGGUAAAAUGCUAUAAUCCUGAGAAGACUACCUGUGGCGAAGGCGUCCAACCAGAAUGGAUCCGACAGUGAGGGACGAAAGCGAGGGGAGCAAACCGGAUUAGAUACCCGAGUAGUCCUCGCCGUAAACGCUACGAGCAAGGUGUUGCACAUUCUUCGCGAAUGUGCAGUGUCGAAACGAAGGUGUUAAGCUCGUCACCUGGGAAGUAUGGUCGCAAGACUGAAACUUAAAGGAAUUGGCGGGGGAGCACCACAAGGGGUGCGGCGUGCGGUUUAAUCUAACUCAACGCAGAGAAUCUCACCAGAAGCGACGGCAGGAUGAAGGUCAGUCUGAAGGGCUUACCUGACGAGCCGAGAGGUAGUGCAUGGCCGCCGUCAGCUCGUGCCGAAAGGUGUCCUGUUAAGUCAGGUAACGAGCGAGACCUGUACUUACAAUUGCUAGCGACUCAUUUGAGGAUUGAGCACAUUGUAGGAACUGCCUUGGAAACAAGGAGGAAGGUGCAGGCAACGGUAGGUCUGUAUGCUCCGAAUCUUCUGGGCUACACGCGCGCAACAAUGGUAGAGACAAUGGGUCACGACUCCGAAAGGAGAAGUUAAUCCUCGAAACUUUACCUUAGUACAGAUUGAGGACUGUAAUUCGUCCUCAUGACGCUGGAAUCCCUAGUAAUCGGGUGUCAUAAUCGCCCGGUGAAUAUGUCCCUGCUCCUUGCACACACCGCCCGUCAAACCACCCGAGCAGGGUUUAGAUGAGGCCUAAUUUAGAAUUAUUCCGAAUCUAAGCUCAGCGAGGAGGGUUAAGUCGUCACAAGGUA
rnacentral:rRNA from 1 species